AUAAUACUCCCUCCGUCCGGAAAUACUUGUCGGAGGAAUGGAUGUAUCUAGACGUAUUUUAAUUCUAGAUACAUUCAUUUUAUCCAUUUCUCUGACAAGUAUUUUCGUAUGGAGGGAGUACUCA
rnacentral:pre_miRNA from 1 species